AACGAACGCUGGCGGCAUGCCUAACACAUGCAAGUCGAACGAGACCUUCGGGUCUAGUGGCGCACGGGUGCGUAACGCGUGGGAAUCUGCCCUUGGGUUCGGAAUAACAGUGAGAAAUUACUGCUAAUACCGGAUGAUGACCGUAAGUCCAAAGAUUUAUCGCCCAAGGAUGAGCCCGCGUAAGAUUAGCUAGUUGGUGGGGUAAAGGCCUACCAAGGCGACGAUCUUUAGCUGGUCUGAGAGGAUGAUCAGCCACACUGGGACUGAGACACGGCCCAGACUCCUACGGGAGGCAGCAGUGGGGAAUAUUGGACAAUGGGCGAAAGCCUGAUCCAGCAAUGCCGCGUGAGUGAUGAAGGCCCUAGGGUUGUAAAGCUCUUUUACCCGGGACUGAUAAUGACAGUACCGGGAGAAUAAGCUCCGGCUAACUCCGUG
rnacentral:rRNA from 1 species